GUGUCAGCCGCCGCGGUAAUACGGAGGGUGCAAGCGUUAAUCGGAAUUACUGAGCGUAAAGCGUGCGCAGGCGGUUUUGUAAGACAGUGGUGAAAUCCCCGGGCUCAACCUGGGAACUGCCAUUGUGACCGCAAGGCUAGAGUACGGCAGAGGGGGGUGGAAUUCCGCGUGUAGCAGUGAAAUGCGUAGAUAUGCGGAGGAACACCGAUGGCGAAGGCAACCCCCUGGGCCUGCACUGACGCUCAUGCACGAAAGCGUGGGGAGCAAACAG
rnacentral:rRNA from 1 species